GGUCUGGUGGUGUAGUUGGUUAUCACGUCAGUCUAACAGUACGAGAGCCUCGACCUCUCUUCCCUGCCACACUGAAGGUCUCCGGUUCAAGUCCGGGCUAGAUCA
rnacentral:tRNA from 1 species